UACGUAGGGUGCAAGCGUUGUCCGGAAUUAUUGGGCGUAAAGAGCUUGUAGGCGGUUUGUCGCGUCUGCUGUGAAAACCCGCGGCUCAACCGCGGGCCUGCAUUCGAUACGGGCAGGCUAGAGUUCGGUAGGGGAGACUGGAAUUCCUGGUGUAGCGGUGAAAUGCGCAGAUAUCAGGAGGAACACCGAUGGCGAAGGCAGGUCUCUGGGCCGAUACUGACGCUGAGGAGCGAAAGCGUGGGGAGCGAACAGG
rnacentral:rRNA from 1 species